CACUGUACCAAUCUAUUAUGUACUUAGCCAAAUACAGAAGUAAACAUUGAAGGUAUAGGUUACAUACUGCUGCUGAUUAAGAAUAGCAUACUCUGUUGAUCUCUUCUUGGAAGUGGAUUUCAUGGUGGCCAUUUUGUGACACAAAUGCUGUCUUUCACCUUUGCACCGUGGGGAGAGGAAUGUCGCCCGGUGCCGUUGCAUGUCUCCAGGCGAUAAUUACCGCAGAAAUAUAUUCACGCCGUGGAUCCCUUAGUCUGUUUUAGAUCAUGCCAUGGUGCUAGAGGCUAAAGUGUUUGAACAAGCAUGUGAGACAUGCCACAAACCUCGCAACUGGCCACAGAAAAUGUCCAGUUUGGUGCGUCAAAAAACAUGGAUAUAAUUAAUGGCACAUUAAAGCACAUAAACAUAGACAAAACUCAGACAAACGUCUGUCUAAAGUACAGAUCAUUACUCGUUGAGGCAAAGGUCUUCAGGUUUUGAAGUGUGGUCAGUUCAGUACUUUCAAAAUAUUGCACUUAUGCCACUAUAGGGCCAACCCGGACUGUACUGUGCUGGUUCUUUUACAGCUUGUCCUGGCUUGGCUCGGUUUGACCCUAUAGUUUUAUUUUGAACCAGAAAAUGAAAGAUAGCUCAGGGAGUAUAUCAAAACCUUUCUUGCCAUUUGGUACCUACUGAACAAGACACUGGUUUGCAAUGCCCCAACUGUGGUAAUCGUUUUCGAUAGGUCUUUCUUGGCUGCAUUAAGCAUCCUACACUGCUGAGGGAGCGUCUUCAUUCACUGAAAUGUUCUUCAUUUUACCAUCAAACAUGUAUGAACCUGUUCAUUGGAACGAUAGCUUUGACAUGUGCUCAUAGCUCAUGUUAACUACUGUCCUACAGGCAAUUAUCAAAGAAACAAUGAUAGAUGAUCAUUCACAAGCAUACUAUAUAUGACAUAUCUAUUUUAUAGCCAGAUUAGAUUCCGUAGAAGAUCUGCCAGGUCUACAUGGGUUUCUGAGCUCUCACUUAAACACCAUUAUUACCCAAGUGUCCCUGUUGUGAAAUCUGUAGUCAGCACAUUGUGUGUUGACAUGCAUAGACAGUGAACUGUUGACAGAAAUCCCCGCACGGCUAUGCUAACACACAGUAUCGAUACGAUAAGCUUUCUCAUGAUCUUAGCACUACCCACAUUUGUCUACAUAUGUCUACUCCAAGGCUUUUGUUUUGACAUUUGAGAGCGUUGAAAACAAAGUGCCCAGACCCACUCCACAGAAAGGCUGUAUAAAGAUUAAGUAUUUUUUUGGUGCACUUCACAGAACAUCACAGCAUGCCACACUUGCCUGGAUCAAAAUCUGUAUGUACAAAAUAAUCGCCAAUGUAGUUCAUGAUUAAUGGUGAUGUGAUUCAAUUAACGGGUAAUCCUCCCAUGUGUUGUUUUCUGUGAAUGGAAGUGCGUCCGCUCACUCUGCUGCGCAGAAGUACCGCCGCUCAGAAGAAAUGCCAUGCUGCGCAGAGAUGCAUGACGGGGCAUGUUCAGUAGCAAGCGGUAAAUUGCCCCGUUGGCAGCAAAUGGCAGGAUGUUCGAUUGUGCAUCAAGAAUUCAGCAUAGAAAGUUUGUAUGAAGAUACCUUGUAACUGGAGAUUCUUUCAAAACGAUUGCCUACAGUUACGGUGUAGGGCACUGCAAGGUUGGGUGACCAGAGCCUGGAGGAAUUCAGGUGUGUGAAGGCUACCUGUGUCCUGCAUAACUUCAUGAGAAUGGACACGAGGACCAGGAUGGGAUCUGCAGCUUGCCGCCGUGUGUCAGAGGAAUAGUCUGCUGCUCUGCAGGAUGUUUCAAGGAUGGGGUCCAACAACGCAGCAAGAGAGGCAAUCCUUGUGCAGGAGAUCUUCACCUCCUACCUCUUUGAAGAAAAUGUUAUGGGAUUCACACCAUUGGUUUUGUUGGUAGUCUCUUUUGGCUACUGUCUAAAACUGUAAGGGUACAAUGUCAGCGUUCACUGUAAAUGCGUGCCGGAAGUUGCACAAAAUGAUCAUAAUGUUCAAAUUUCUGCUCACAAGACUUAAAAUUUGCUCAGUGCCCCACAAAAAGUAGAGGGAACAUUGCUUGGGGGCUAGGUUUGUUUGCAUUUUAAUAGAUGUCAUUCCAAUGCCAUUUCAAUCCACUAAGGUGAAACAGCCUGAUACAAUAGGAGAACAUGUCCCUUUCAGUCAGCUCUUUUGAACGUGUGUGACUUCCUAACUAGAUGUUUGAUGGUUAUCAAUCACCAACCAUCUACCUUAAUGUUCCAGUUUUGCUAAUAGGCUAGUUACUGGUUGGUAUAUCUGGUUGGCAUAGGGUGCCUUCGGAAAGUAUUCAGACCCCUUGACUGUUUUACACAUUUUGUAAAAUUACAGCCUUAUUCUAAAAUACAAAAUAAAAUUAAGAAAUGUCAGCAAUCUACAUACAAUACUCCAUAAUGACGAAGCGAAAAUACUUUUUUUUUAAAGAAAUUUUGCAAAUGUGUUAAAAAUAAAAACAGAAAUAUCCUAUUUACAUAAGUAUUCAGACCCUUUGCUAUGAGACUCGAAAUUGAGCUCAAGUGCAUCCUGUUUGCAUUGAUCAUCCUUGAGCUGUUUCUCCAACAUGAUUGGAGUCUGCCUUUGGUAAAUUCAAUUGAUUGGACAUGAUUUGGAAAGGUACACACCUAUAUAUAUUUCAUACAUUUUAGAAUAAGGCUGUCACGUAAAAAUGGGGGUCUGGAUACUUUCUGAAGGCACUGUAUCUGCCCUGCUCUGUACAUUAGACAUUAGUCCUUAGUGAAAAAUAUUGAGGUUGAAAAUAUAACUGUGUAUUCCACUAAAAUGCUAAAUGCUUAAAUUUGAAUAAGUAAAGGCUAACACAGUAAAUGCUAACAUUUUAGCCAGAAUGCUACCGACAAUAGCCCUUUUCUGACCACAAACAGGUCCCUCAGCCAACCAGUUAGUUAUGGGAAUCUAUCCUCCUACUGUUUUCACUGGUGGGCUUUAGAGGAAUUCCUGCCACGUGACAACGCUAGCCAAGAUUCAGAGAUUUCCCAUGCCUUUUUUCUCCUUCAGUCAUCACCAGCAAAUGGCUACUGUCAGCUACUAAUCUGUGCUUAUGCCAGAAUUACUUUUAUUUGUACAAACAUUUACUCUGCUACAGACGGGAAGACUUCCGGCACCAUUUGAAAAACCCCCAUAUCCACAGAGAAUGAGCAGCAUUCUUCAUUCUUUCGUCAGGCAAUAGAAGGCUUCCUUUUUCAGAGUAACACUAAGGGAAUAUCUUAGUGUGAUUUCUGACAUCCCAUUCUGGCUAUUCUUUUGGGAUAGUCUGAAGACACUAACAAGAGAUGUUUCAAAGAGAUCAUUUAAAUGAGGAAAUACAGUGAAAGCUGAGAGAGCUACUUUCAAAUGUUUUUCACCAACAUUAAAUAAACUUCUACAAGGUUCAA